rnacentral:lncRNA from 1 species
UUUCCUUUUCUUUAUUUUUGUAUUGUUUUCUUUUUUUGUAUUUAGCUUAGAUACUAAAUGAUUUUAGUUCAAGUUCAAGCUUCCCACAAAAUUACGUGUCGAUAUUUUGGUGCUGUUUAAAAAGACUGAGGUUAUUUGGAAAAUGUUUGAAAAUAGGUUUAUAUUUAAAUGGUCAUAAUAAGUGCUACUUGUCCACAUUAAUAUUUCCUAGGGGGCGAUUUAGAAAUCCAUUUAAUGUUGGUUCCUACAUGUUAAAUACUUAGUGAAUAUUUUUAAAUCCUCGAACAUUUUUGUUUGACAGUUUAAAGAAAAAAAGAAUUUGACUUGUUAUUUGAAAUUUGAAUUUGACUCAGAUUUUCAUCAAGUGGCAAAUUGGCUUAAUAAAACAUGAUGACAUGGCACAUUAGGGUGAGGUUACUGUAGCUUGAUUAUCGGUGUGUUACAAAUCUCCUUCACUACAAGAAAUCUCGUCCCGAGAUUUAAGAGGUGGAAUUAAGGGGAAAGGUCUGGUUACGAAAUUAUAACGAAUCUUCUCGGUCUUGGUUGCUCUUCUCGAAGUGGUCGAUUCAUAGCAUUGAUGUCUUCAUACCUAUGCAUCAAUACAUCAUGAUGAGGUUGUCAUCCUUCCUUCAGGAACUCCAUCGUACUUACGAGAAUGAUAAGGGGUAACUUCAGAAGAACAGGUCUCUACAAGGUUGCUUAGCCGGUAGAUAACACCAGGGAAGGUGGCGGAAAGUAGAUCUCGAAUCUAAUCUUAAAAAAUAUCGAGAGCAAAGUAAGAAGGUGCAAAAAUAGAAGUUUCAAGCGCAUAGGAAAUCGUUUGUUGUCUGAAACGAAGUGUGAAAGGGGUUCAGAGCAAAGGGAAUAAGUAUUGCGUCUAAUACCAGAAUAGAUCACUAGGCAGGUGGCCCGUGAAUUGCGUAUGAAGUCAAGCGUGAGGAGUAACUUUUGAAACCGGGGGGUGUACAGAAGAGUCAGGUUUCGAUCCUGUGGAACUGUGGGUUAUGGGCCCACCAUGUGCGUAGGAAGGGCACUGACAUCUUGCACGGACAUGACAGUAAGGCAGGUUAGAGGAUAGCUUGUUAGUUAUAUUGGCAUCAACAUCAGUACCAAGGGAGAGGGAUGAAGAGAACCAUUCUCCUGCUCGUUGAACUAGGUGUACCAAUAGGCAAAGUUCUCAUCCAUCGGUGACUACCAGAAUGUCAUCAGCGAUAGUAACAGGGUCUAAUUUCAUGCCAUUACCCAUACAGCGGUGUUUGGCUAAUUGAGCAAGAAACAUUUAGCAUUUAGCACUGGGCUUCAAAUGUUCUUGUUGAAAAUCGGAGUACCACAGACAUGCUUUGAGAUAGCAUUGACAUGGUCUUCAAGCAAAAGUCAGACUUCGGAUACACAAAGGAUCCAUCAGGAUCAACUUAUAAAAUAAGUCUUACGAUUUCCUCAUGGAAGAAUCGCUAAGAUUGCUAAAAAGGAAACUAUAACAAUAGGUCCUCCGUCCAGGUGUGCUAGGCACGACAUCACCUUACCGGGUUAAAUAAAUGCCAAUGUUAUAACUUUUGGAAAAUGUUCCAACCAUCAUAUCUGACCGAGAUUCAGAUCUGAUUGGUGUCAAGACACCUCGGACUCGGCAUGCCUGAGAAGAAAAGGUCCAACACAAAUUGUCGAGAUGACAUUGUAAGAUUCUCGGGCAAUGAACUAUGGAAGCGAGUUCCGAAACAAGAGUUCAUCAUUAAACCAAGGAGAGGAUGAGAAGGUGGCUGAUGGGCUCAACGACAAUUCAUCAAGAAUUCCAAACGGAUGGAUUUCCACAAUAAUGUGAACAAGAAGAUGGCACUUGUCAAUUCAAAUGAUAUAAUGUUGUAUGCUCUAGGAAAACAUACACCAUCAAUCAUUAGUUGAAAGGUGUGCCUGAAAUAUGACCUUAGGCAGCAAGAUCAAUGUUAGAGUAAUGAUUCAAUAACCAACAGUCUAAGAACGAACUGUUGAUCGUUAACUCCAAAGCAAUAGGGUUGCUAGAAGUACAGAACUCAAACAACAUCGUUAGCAUAUUGGUAUCCUGGUUAAAAACAACACGGGGACCAAGGAAGAAUGGUGAUGGUGAGAAGUAUCAUCAAACCGAGAAUUUCUAAGAGGUGGAGCAAUCCCCACAACAUUCUCAACAUAAAAGACAGUAAUACUUCAAGGUAGAACACAACACUAGCUGGAGAGCAAGUUGUAUUCAUAAUGUGGACAAGUUCGCAAUGAAAGGAAGUCAAGGGUGUUGUCGAUGAUAAUAAAAAUCAUCGAGGGCAAGGAGGGUAUUUCUCAUCAUGAACACAGUUGACAUCUCGAGAGAAGUCAAAGUGUUGAAGGUGAUCCGACACAUUUGCGGGGAGGUUUCAAGAGGAUGCAAUCAAACGACAACGGCAACAAGCAAGGAAAUGACGAAGUGGCAAGUUAUAGGAUCAAUAUAUAAGAUGCAAGCUCGGAACCAAAGUUGCCUUUCUAGACAAGCAACAUGAUGUUGAAAGCUCGACAUAAGUCGUGCUCACACACUAAAGAAUUCGUGCACCAGAGAAGGACGAGGUAGCACAGUUAAAGAUAGCAAGACCAGGAUGCAGCCGAUAGUCUAGGAAUGACCAGAUUGGGUUCGGAAUUUCCUAGUAAAAAUACUAGGGGUAUUUGAUUUGUAGUGCCGAAUAAUUUCACUAGUCGGUGUCCUCAAUUGACAACAACCCAGAACCUGUAGAGUGUUUACGACAAGGAAAGAUAUCACUUCAACAAAGUUAGUAAGAUGUGGUGCAAUGGCAAGACAUCUCCGAGAUACCAGGGGGUAAUACUCGAAGGUAGAACAUGAUAGAAGUAGAACCGGAUUAUUGACCUAUGACAGUAGAUACUUCAACCUUGCCAAAAAUAGACGAGGCACUGGAACGAAUUCCCAUCAGAUAUAUCAGAUCAGGACAGCAUGGUCGGAACCAUAACUGUAAGGAAUCAAUUUCAAGAAUACCGAAAGAAUCAUACAGCUGGAUAAUCAUUUUGCAAGAAGCUUCCGAGACGGUCUACAUCAUUUUCAUGGGCAUGAACACAAAGUUCAAGGUCGACACCCACUUCUUUAAUGCAUAUCAUUUCAUUCACCUCUCGCUUUGAUAUAACUGUAGUGUUGGAAUUUUAUCUGGUAGAACACCGGAAGAGUAUGACUUGUGAAAAUUUUCGGGUUCUCACGGAUUAGGGGAAGGCAUAGGUUCAACCCAUGGGCAUCUUAGUAACAUAUACCACAAGUUUCAAAAGUAAAUACGCAAGAUCGAAAGCAGAUCAUGGUUGGCCAAGCAGAGGAUACAAUUUACCAAAGGCAUUAUGUAUCAGGGGAAGAACUCACAAGAUGAUUGAAUAUGAAGGACAUUGUCGGAUAAAAAUCCAACAAUGGAUCGGGCGAUCCGCAAUGAAGCUGAUGUGAGUAUCGGUACUCACUCAGAGGAAGAAAGAAUGCAGAGGCAUCAGAUUCAAGAAUCACCUGAUUAGUCUGAUGCUUAAAUAGAAAGAAAUUAUGGUUUCCAAAACGAAGGAUCAAAAGCAGAUGCUUUGAUCAAGGAUGGAUAAGUUGAAAACACUUAGUUGGACAAUAAAUAAAGGUUUGAAUUGCCGAGAACCAACUCAUGUCCGGAAUGACGUCUGAGUCGGAAAGAUAAUUUUAAAAAGGAUAACCUGUUAACGAGGACUACUAGUCAUAUGGAAUUAACCAUAAUGCAAGAAGGCGAGAAUUUCAAGAAUAACAGGCUGUAGAAGAUUUUUGAAAGAUCGAAAGGUAUUCCGAAGAAUUUUGUGAGACACAUGAACAACUGAGAAGAAUGGAUCCUCGAUAAAUGUGAGUAAAAAAUGGUAAGGGUUUUCAUGCAAAAUAGAACUACAAGACAGUAAAAACAAAGGAUUCUCGGGGCAACGGAGAAUAGUUCGAGCCAUCUUGUAACAACAAGAGCGACGAGAAAUGAUCAUGAGAAUGACAAGUGCAUGUAGAUAUCCAUAGGGAUAUAUCGGUGGCGGUGAAUUGCAAAGGCAAUGAGCACAAGGGUCUCUGGAAAAUAUCGAGGGAAAUCCUCAGAAUCUUCUGACGAAGCAAGUGAUCUUCCGGAAUAAGGGCUCUUCGGGAGAAUAGUUACGAGAACCUAGAGUUAGUAGCAAAAUCAUUUAACCCGAAUAGAAGAGAGGUUAGAGUCCUAGAGUAUAGACGAGGAGUAAAAGAUCCUAAUGCCACCCAAUGGCGACGUGGGCCCGUAAGCCACACAACCAUGUUAGUAAAAGUUUUGCAAUUGACUAGACUCGACUUCGGCCAAGGAGUGUGGAAGGGGGAUUCCUAUAGGCAGUCGGCUCUGAUACCAACUUGUGAUGCCCCUGAUUCAAUCGUACACUAAUCAUGCACACAAAUGUGUACGAUCAAGAUCAGGGACGCAUGGGAAGAUAUCACAACACAACUCUAAAAGUAAAAUAAGUCAUAGAAGCAUCAUAUUACAAGCCAGGGGCCUCGAGGGCUCGAAUACAAGUGCUCGAACAUAAACGAGUUAGCGGAAGCAACAAUGUCUGAGUACAUACAUAAGUUAAACAAGUUGCCAUAAGAUGGCUAGCACAAACCGGGAUACAGAUCGAAAGAGGCGCAGGCCUCCUGCCUGGGAUCCUCCUAAACUAUUCCUGGUCAUCGUCAGCGGCCUGCACGUAGUAGUAGGCACCUCUAGCGUAGUAGGAGUCUUCGUCGAUGGUGUCGUCUGGCUCCUAGGCUCCAACGUCUGGUUGUAGCAUCCAAGAAGAAGAGGGAAAAGUGGGAAAAGGGGGAGCAAAGCAACCGUGAGUACUCAUCCAAAGUACUCGCAAGCAAGGAUCUACACUACAUAUGCAUGGGUAUAUGUGUAAAGAGGCAAUAUCGGAGGACUGAACUGCAGAAUGCCAGAAUAAGAGGGGGAUUGCUAGUCCUAUCGAAGACUACGCUUCUAGCAGCCUCCGUCUUGCAACAUGUAGAAGAGAGUAGAUUGAAAUCCUCCAAGUAGCAUCGCAUAGCAUAAUCCUACCCGGCGAUCCUUCCCUCGUCGCCAUGUGGGAAAGCGAUCACCGGCUUGUCUCUGGAACUUGUCUGGGUGUGUUUUAUUAAGUAUCCAGUUCUAGUUGUCAUAAGGUCAAGGUACAACUCCAGGUCGUCCUUUUACCGAGGGACACGGCUAUUCGAAUAGAUCAACUUCCCUGCAGGGGUGCACCACAUAACCCAACACGCUCGAUCCCCUUUGGCCGAACACACUUUCCUGGGUCAUGCUCGGCCUCGAAAGAUCAUCACAUCGCAACCCCGCGUAGGCAUAACAGAGAAGUCAGCACGCCGCUCUAAAUCUUAUGUGCGCAGGGGUCCGGGCCCAUCUUCCAUUGCACACCUGCACGUUGCGUGCGUGGCCGGUGAGCAGACCUAGCAAACUCCAUUACAAAGGAAGUUGCAUUACGUUAUCCAACCCGGCGCGCGCCGCUUAGUCGCUCACGUCAAGAAGGCUUUGGCUGAUACCACGACGUCGAGUGCCCAUAACUGUUCCCGCGUAGUUGGUUAGUGCGUAUAGGCCAGUGGUCAGACUCAGAUCAAAUACCAAGAUCUCGUUAAGUGUUUUAUUUUGAAGUAACCGCAGACGCCGACUAGGGCCAGGCCCACCUCUCGCCUAGGUGGUAUCAACCUGCCCUGUCCCUCCGCCACAAAGUAACAAUCGGGGACCGUCGGGAAUCCAGGCCCACCUCUACCAGGAUGGAGCCACCUAUCCUUUCAGCCCCCAUAUCUGAAUCACUUGCGGGUACUCAAUGAACCGACCCGACUUUAGUCACCAUCUGUAUAGUAUGUAUAUAUGUAUAGUGUAUACCCGUGGUCACCUCCCGAGUGAUCACGGCCCGAUAGUAUAGCAAGGCAGACUAACAAGAAUUUAGGGCCAAUGAUGAUAAACUAGCAUCCUAUACUAAGCAUUUAGGAUUGCAGGUAAGGUAUCAACGAUUGUAGCAACAAUGACAAGCUAUGCAACAGAAUAUGAGUAACCGAAUAGUAACAUGCUACACUACUCUAAUGCAAGCAGUAGAGAGAAGAAUAGGCGAUAUCUGGUGAUCAAGGGGGGGGGGGGCUUGCCUGGUUGCUCUGGCAAGGAGGGGUCGUCAACUCCGUAGUCGUACUGGGUAGGAGCGGCAUCGGUCUCGUAGUCUACCGGAGAGAAGAGGGGGUGAAACAAUAAAUAUAAUGCAAACAUAAGCAUGACAUAGCAAGACAUGACAAUGAGCAGUGCUAGGUGUGCCCUAAUGCGGUAGUAGGUGAUACCGGCAAAAGGGAGAAACAUCCGGGAAAGUAUCCCCAGUGUUUCGCCUUUCCAAACAGAUGAACCGGAGGUGAAAUGUUGCACGUUCUCUAUGCUAGGGAUGUGUGGUGGACGAACAAGUUGUGUAUUCGGAUUCGUCUCGUCGUUGUGAGCGACUUUCAUGUACAAAGUUUUUCCAUCCAAGUUACGAAUUAUUUAAUAUUAAUUUUCAAAGUUUUAAUCAAUUUUCUAAAAAUUGUUUAAAUAAUUUAAUUCAAAAUAUUUGAAAAGUAAUUUUCUAGGUGUACUCAAAAAGGUACCCAGUAGAACAGCACAGAGGCUGACCGGUGGGGCCAUGGUCAACUGUCCAGUCAACGUUUUACAGGACCGUUGACUCGUCAAACCGUGAACUCUGUACNNNNNNNNNNNNNNNNNNNNNNNNNNNNNNNNNNNNNNNNNNNNNNNNNNNNNNNNNNNNNNNNNNNNNNNNNNNNNNNNNNNNNNNNNNNNNNNNNNNNNNNUCUCUUUGGUAAUUUUAACACUGAUUUAACAUUUACACUAAGCAGCGGACCCCAUCUGUCAUUGAGUGAUCUAUUUAUCAAACUUUUGAUUAACCCCAGUGAUGUUGAUUAGGAUGGUGGGGUUCGAUUUCAGUGGGAGUUAGCGGCUGGAUUAGUGCUUACCUAAAUAGUUAAUGACCCGGGCCCACGCGUCAUAGACACUAGCCAGAUUCUAACGCAUGCGCGUGCUGGUGCAUGCCAGCGACCAGCAGAGGCAACGGUGGCCCACCAGAGACGCUCUCCGGCGACCAAACGGGCGGUGGGCGCCACCUACAUGAGGUGCACGACACGCCGAGGGGGGCAGGGUGCGGCCCGGACAGGAGCAACGUCGGCGAGGCGCGGGCAUGCCAGGGCGGCCGGGUGCAGCCAGUGCGAGAUUGGGUGAGGCCAGCCUCGAGCGACGACGGGUGUGCAGCAGCAGAGGGAGGCGAGGCCAUGCGCGGGUAAGGUGGUACGCGGAGCGGCGCGCGAGGGUCAGGCGGUGACCGCGGCGAGGAGAAAGAAGAGGAGGGAUGCGCUCACAGCCGUUGACGGGCAGUGAGGGCGGCAAGGUGUGGAGGCGACCCGCGAGGAGGAGGUCGGGGAGGUUCCGACAAUGAUGACGGCGGCGGCCGGUGGUGCUGCAGGCGCGACGCGAGGAUGGCGAAGAAGCUGCGGGCCGGAGGUGGUAGUCGUCGGGCGCGGGUGUGCUCUCCGCGGGGGGAGCAGCGGCGAACGUAGCUGGGACAGUGAGGCGUCGGCUUGGGAAGGGCUCCGGUGAUGGGGAGGUCGGCGAUGGUGAUGGGGCGCCGGGGCGAGUCGGCGGGGUCGGGGCGCGCGGUUGCGCGAUCCAGAAGGGGGGGAAGAGGUCAUGGGGAGUCGUGGGGGAAGUGGGGAGGAGAACGCUAGGGUUCGGUCCGGUGGGAGGGGAUAAGGUGAAUGGAUGGGCUGGACAGCUGAGGGAGUGGCCGACUGGGCCGGCCUGUUGGGUCGGUUGGCCCAAGGGGGGGUAUUUUCCUUUUCUUUAUUUUUGUAUUGUUUUCUUUUGUUGUAUUUAGCUUAGAUACUAAUUGAUUUUAGUUCAAGUUGAAACUUCCCACAAAAUUACGUGUCGAUAUUUUGCUGCUGUUUAAAAAGAUUGAGAUUAUUUGGAAAAUGUUUGAAAAUAGGUUUAUAUUUAAAUGGUCAUAAUAAGUGCUGCUUGUCCACAUUAAUAUUUCCUAGGGGGC